GGCAGAGGGAGAGAGAGAAUCCCAUGUAGGCUCCAUGCUCAGCAGCUCACAUCUGAAAAAACAGGUAAUAGAGCAGGUAAGACAUUCAGUAGGGCUUGAUCCCAUGAACCGUGAGAUCAUGACCUGAGCCAAAAUCAAGAGUUGGAUGCUGAGUGCCCAGGUGGCUAAGUUGGUUGAGCAUCCGAGUUUGGCUCAGGUCGUGAUCUCAUGGUUUGUGGGUUUGGGCCCCACAUCAGGCUCUUUGCUGACAGGUCAGAGCCUGGGGCCUGCUUCAGAUUCUGUGUGUGUGUGUCUCUCUCUGCUCCUCCCGCCGCUCACACUCUGUCUGUCUCUGUCUCAAAGAUAAACAUUAAAAAAAAAUUUUUUUUUAAAGUUGGAUACUCAACCAGCUGAGCCACCAGGGCACCCCAAAAUUGUAUUUUAUAACUAACUAAAUAUACCUGUAUGAGCAACAAUUUGGAUAAUUAUAUAAUAUUCGUAAUUAAAUAUUUUAAUUUUUUGCUUGCUAAUAAAUUGAACAUUUUCAUUUGUGUUAUUUAAACCACUUUUCUUGCCAGUUACAAACUGACGAAAAGGGACGCCUGGUUGGCUCAGUUGAUUAAGCAUCUGACUCUUGAUUUCAGCUCAGAUCAUGAUCUCACAGUUGGUGAGAUUGACCCUGGUGUGGAGCCUACAUAGGAUUCUCUCUCUCCUCUCUUUCUGCCCCCCCCUCACUCUUGCUGUCUCUUUCUCUCAAAAUAAAUAAGCAUUUAAAAAAAUAAAAAACAAUUUGGGGUGGCUGGGUGGCUCAGUUGGUUAAGUAUCCAGCUCUUGAUUUCAGCUUGGGUCGAGAUCUCACAGUCAUGGGAUCAAGCCCCACAUAGGGCUCUGCACUGAGCAUGAGCCUGCUUUGGAUUCCCUUCUUGUCUCUCUGCCUCUCUCCCCCAAUAGCAUGCUUGCACUCUCUCUCUCUCUCCCUCAAAAUAAAUAUACAAACAUUAAAAAAAAGAAAAAAACAAAUUGAAGCAAAGGGUGGAUGAUUAAAAGACCAAGACAAUCACUGCUGAAGAUAGUAAUGACACAUUAACAGAGUUGCAGCCUAUAUUUUGUACCAAGCAAACUGAUAUCCAAUGUAAUUUAUUAUGUUCUAUAUCCUAUGAGAUGCUAUUUUAGACAUUGGAGAUACAGUACUGUUAGCAGACAUUUUUAUUUCAGACCAUUCAUUCAUUUAUAAUUUAACAUAUUUUCUAGGUGCUUUCUGUGUUCCAUUUACUGGAGGCACAAUAGAGAACAAGAUCCACAUGGCCUCUGUUCUCUUGAAGGAGAAUAAAAAUAUAAAAGUAACUUUAUUCAUUAUUUAUUACUUGCCACACAUCGUGCUAAUAUUAUUCCAUAUAUUAUUUCCUUUAAUAUUAAAAUGAUAUUUGGAAACUGCAUUUUGGAGACAUACAUGUGUGUGGUCAGUUUUGUUCGUAUCACCUGAAAUACUAACAUGCUUUAUAAAAGGCCUUUUAGUAUCAAAAAUGUGGUGCAUUUGUGAGCAGCGUAGAAUGAACACACACAUGCGACAAAGUCUCAUUUCACUUAAAUAUUGUUGUGAGACCUUCAGUCCCUAAAAUGUUUGUAGUGACAAGUUUAAAAGGGUAAGGAUGAUAAAUAAUCUGAUUCCCACUUAGGGCUAAAAUGUAUUUGUCCUCCCUCUUUAAAUUAGAGCCAGGAAUCAUCUGUGUUAGGCUAUAAAUGCCUUUUCAGCGUGUCUUUGUGCUUUCUACAUAGAGAGUAUAGCACUGGUGCACAAAACACAGGGGGCUCUUGCCAUUGGAGACUGUCUAAUCCACAGAUACGAAGAAGCUCCCUGGAACUUUACUGCUUGUUUACAGAAAGUCACCCACCAUUGUUAUAGAUGCCUAGAAGGCGAGGAGUUUUCUCUAAGAGAUCAAAAUCUAACAGAAGCUGGAAUGUUUGCACCAAAUAGGCAGCUUUUAAAAUCUGAGUAAACCUCCACAACUCGUUAAAGAAAACUAAGUUAUAAUUGUAGGUAACAUUAAACUUUGGAAUAAGAAAGUAGAAAGUUAAUAUUUUCUUUUAUAAUUUUGAAUCCAUUACUCAGGUAUUUGAGGCACAAUGUGUUACAACUACAGUCUUACUAAAAUGCGGGGGGAUAUGUUUAGUUGUAACUUUUUUAGAAGACGAAUUAUUGUCACUGCUGCUGAGAAAUGGAUUCUGUCUUUCUUGAUCUUCCUUGCUUUCUUCCUGAAUGUCCUCAGUUAAUGUUUUUUUUCUGUGAUUCAAAUAGUGCUGAGCACAGCAGAGGUUGUUGCUGGAAUUGAAUUAAGAAUGGACAUGUGAGUGUUUAUAAUAAGAAAGCCAAAUUCUUUUUUCAUAGACUCUGUACUUGAAAGCUUUGAUGUCCUGAAUAACUACAUACCCCCAAAAGUACAAUUUGGCUACUAUAUUAAAAUUUGAAAAUAUCCUGCUUUACAUGUUUAGUUCAAAGGCCACUUUCAUUACAUACAUAUAAAGACCAAACUUCUGUGACUCUUAUCCUUAUUAUAUUUUUAGAAAGUAUUUAUAAUCUUGGGGCACCUGGGUGGCUCAGUUGGGUAAAUGUCCAACUUCAGCUCAGGUUGUGAUCUCAUGGUUCAUGAAUUCAAGCCCCGCAUCGGGCUCUGUGCUGACAGCUUGGAGCCUGGAGCUUCUCUCUGUGUCUUCCUCUCUCUCUGGCACUCCCCCGCUUCACCCUGUCUCUCUCUCUCUCCUUCAAAAAUAAGUAAACAUUUAAAAAAAAUUUUUUUUAAAGAAAGUACUUGUGGGGCGCCUGGAUGGCUCAGUCAGUUAAGCGACCGACUUCGGCUCAGGUCAUGAUCUCACGGUAUGUGAGUUCAAGCCCCAUAUCGGGCUCUGUGCUGACAGCUCAGAGCCUGGAGCCUGCUUCGGAUUCUGUGUGUGUGUCUCUCUCUGCCCCUCCCCUGCUCUCUCUCUCUCUCUCUUUUUCUCUCUCUCUCAAGUAAAUAAACAUUAAAAAAGAAAAAAAGAAAAAAAGAAAAAAAUGUAGCUGUCACGUUUGAGUAUACCAUACACCUAAGAUUGUUUCAGUCAGAGGCUGUCAUGGGGCUGUAAUGAUCAGACCAUGUUCACUACAACCAUCAGUUGUAGUUAGGAGGAGACCAAAGGAAACAUCUAAACCAUCAUACUAUUUCCUUUCCAUUAAUGGUCCCAUAUAUCCAAAAAAAAUGUAUAUCAACUCUUCCCCAAAAUUUCAAUGUAAGGAACUUUCAUAUUGCUUGCAUUAGGGAUAUUGCCUCCUGAACUAAAAUUAAAGCUUUAUAUUCUCCAUGCUAACUAUUUUCUGGCAUUUCAGUACUUUCAUGUCAAAAGUACACAUAAAAGAUGCCACUGAAAUAACAGCCAAAAGAUCAAUAUGGGAAAAUUCUAGAUUUAAUUUGGAAUGCCAAAAAUUCUUAGGUUUGCAGCAGUCAUAUUUGCUAUCUGAUACCUACAAUUUCCUUGUUUAUAUACCUAGAGAGCUGAACGUCUAUUAUAGUUUCUUCCAGAAGUCUUUCGGUUUCCUCCAUCAGGCCUUUUGGCCCUCUAGCUCUCCUUGCCUCCAGCUUAAAAACUUUUGUUUAUAGUUUUUAUAUAAGUAUAAAACAACAACAAAAAAUACCAUUUAAAUGCAACCAAGUCUAUAAAUCAGUCAAAUUCAAAUUGAUGAAAUAAUUAAAUAUGAUAGCUGAUAAAGAUUAGUGGAACAUAAAUUGCUACUUGAGAUAUGAAUUAUGAUGCUGUCUCUAAGCUGUUUUGAAAAUCCGUGCCUGUUCUUCCGUAUGCCUAUAAUGACUCUUCCUCAUCACCCCUUUUGUUUUGUUAGUAAAGUGUUCACAGAUGUCAUUUUAUCUCCACAUCUUGCAAAUAUGUCAUUUACAUUUUAAGUUCAAGGUCAUUUCAAGUACAAGAGCUCUUUUCAUUAACCUAGGACCAUUGGAUUAAAACAACUUGACACAUUGAUCAUAAACAUAAGCGUGGGCACAGAGAUCCCACGGCAAUUCCCCAGUAAAAGGUUGAUCUUCCAUAUUGUCCUGGAUUAAAUUAUAUCAUCUAAAAAUUAUUUAGAUGAAAACAAAAAAAUUUAAAUUGCUACAAUGAAUUUAUGAACUGCAAAGAUUAUGUGAUUAUAUCCUUAGCUUCCACUUUAAGAAAAACUACUCUGAUUAGUUUUAUCUAUGCUCUGUAUAUGUGAGGAACAAAAGAGAUUUGGGGCUACUGAAAUUGGAACACAGGCAAGAGAUUUCUGAAAGCACUAUACUCAAGCCAGUAGAUUUUGGCUUGAAUGUUUUGACAUAUACCUGCCUUAAGAUCAUCUGGGCAUGUCACUCACCUUUAUCACAUUUUACUUGAGUGCUGAUUCUGAUGGAUUUGUUAGAAAUGAAGAUUAUGGUUAGCAGUAGAGUGAGAUGGAAAAUAAUGGAUGGCUGACAGACUAAAAUCAGUUUGUAUAUAUUAAAAAAUGGUCAAAACCAUGCUUAUUAAAACUUCUCAAUCAAGUAUUUGUGGAGUCUCUGAAGCUUCUUGGAAAAUUCUGGAUUCCCUGGAGCACUGAGGUAAAAACAUAGUCACUAAAUAAAUAGCAACAGCAAUAAUAAAUCUUGGGGAGAGAAAGAGGAAUCUGAUUUCCUGAAGUACCACAUUACAUUAUUUAAAAACAUUUUUUUAAUGUUUAUUUUUGAGAAAGAGGGAGACAGAACACAAGCAGGGGAGAGGCAGAGAGAGAGAGAGAGAGAGAGAGAGAGAGAGAGAGAAUCUGAAGUGGGCUCCAGGCUGUGAGCUGUCAGCACAGAGCCCAACGCAGAGUUCAAACUCACAAGCCAUGAGCCAAAGUCAGACGCUCAACCAGCUGAGCUACUCAGGCGCCCCCACAUUACAUUAUUUUAAAUGGAAAGUUCUUAAAAGAUUAUGACAUAUGCAAAGAAACAGGAGUGUAUAGCCCUUCCAGAGGACUAAAAGGAGUCAAUAGAAAUUGACCCUAAAGAAGCACAUACAUUGGACUUACUAGACAAAGAUUUUAAAUCACCUAUUUUUAACAAAGAGCUAAAGGAAACCAUAAAGCCAAAGAACUAAAGUAUGAGAAUAAUGUCCCACCAAAGAGAGAAUAUCAACAAAGAGAAAUUAUAAAAAAGAGCCAAAUAGAAA